rnacentral:rRNA from 1 species
AACGAACGCUGGCGGCAGGCUUAACACAUGCAAGUCGAGCGAUGUAGCAAUACAUAGUGGCGCACGGGUGAGUAACGCGUGGGAACAUGCCCUUCAGUCUGGGAUAACAGCGGGAAACUGCUGCUAAUACUGGAUAUUCCCUCCGGGGGAAAGAUUUAUCGCUGAAGGAUUGGCCCGCGUAAGAUUAGGUAGUUGGUGGGGUAAUGGCCUACCAAGCCUACGAUCUUUAGCUGGUCUGAGGGGACGACCAGCCACACUGGAACUGAGACACGGUCCAGACUCCUACGGGAGGCAGCAGUGGCGAAUAUUGCACAAUGCGCCAAAGCCUGAUCCAGCCAUGCCGCGUGCAUGAUGAAGGCCUUAGGGUUGUAAAGUUCUUUUGUCAGGGAAGAUGAUGACGGUACCUGAAGAAUAAGCACCGGCUAACUUCGUGCCAGCCGCCGCAGUAA